UGGGGAACAGGUGGUGUUUGGUUUAGUGGUGAUUUCUGUGAUUUUGGUGCACCCAUUACGGGAGCAGUGUACACUGUACCCAUUGUGUAGUCUUUUAUCCCUCACUCCCCUCCCACCCUUUCCCCUGAGUCCCCAAAGUCCGUUGUAUCAUUCUUACACCUUUGCAUCCUCAUAGCUCAGCUCCCACUUAUGAGUUGAGAAUAUAACUGGUUAUUUCUAUGGGGAAAAAAAUUCCAACUCUAGACAGCUUAUUAAAAAAACAGGCCGGGCGCGGUGGCUCACACCUGCAAUCUCAGCACUUUGGGAGGCCGAGGCAGGUGGAUCACGAGGUCAGGAGAUCAAGACCAUCCUGGCUAACACUGUGAAACCCCGUCCCUACUAAAAAAUGCAAAAAAUUAGCCGGGCGUGGUGGCGGGCGCCUGUAGUCCCAGCUUCUCGGGAGGCCGAGGCAGGAGAAUGGCGUGACCCGGGAGGCAGAGCUUGCAGUGAGCCGAGAUACCGCCACUGCACUGCAGCCUGGGCAACAGAGCAAGACUCUGUCUCAAAAAUAAUAAUAAUAAUAAUAAUAAUUUGGGGUCUACUCAAGACCUGAAUAUUACCUUGCACGCUGGAACUAGUUAAAAAAGUUAAGGGCUAAAUAUUACAGAUAUAUUUUACAAGUAAUGCUUAAUAGUAGAUAAUUUUCUAAGACUGAAUCACAAACCAUUGAUGUAAACAUUGCCAAAUUGGCAAAUGCGAAAACAAUUUUUUGACCAAUCAGAUACACCAUAAAUGAACUGAAAAAAUAAGCCACAAACUGGAAGAAAAUAAUUACAGUGCACACAAUCAACAGUUUUGUUAUCUAGAGAAUACACAAAGGCUGAGAAGAGGAAAUUCAUUGCUUUUUUCUUCUUUAAGAUGGGGUCUUGCUCUGUCAUCCAGGCUAGAGUGCAGUGACAUGAUCUCAGCUCACUGCAGCCUCCCAAGUAGCUGGGACUACAGGCACGCACUACCACACCUGGCUAAUUUUUGUGUUUUUUGGUAGAGAUAGGGUUUUACCAUGUUGCCCAGGCUGGUCUUGAACUCCUGGGCUCAAGGGAUCCUCCCACCUAAGCCUCCCGAAGUGCUGGGAUAACAGGUGUGCACCAGCAGGCCCAGUCAGGAAAUUCGUAAAAGAGGGAUCUGAAAUAGCUAAUGAACCCUGCUAAGUCUCAAUAAAAACAAGUGUAAUUGUGGAAUACAAGUUGUCCAGAAGUUUGACAGUAUCAAUUGUUAAUAAAAGAUGUGGAACUGAGAGGACGCUUAUUCCACCCCCUGGGCAACAGAGCAAGACUCCAUCUCAAAAAAAAUAAAAAGCUGAAAUUAUUCUCCUGAAAGACUUGGAGUCAGUAUAAACUACUAGGUUAAUAAAAGUAAAAAUUAAAGAUUUUUGGCUUUAGAAUAUAUAUGCAUUUUUGAGACUUAAUCCCAUUGUUAAAAAUGACUGAUUUCUGGCUUUAAUACUGUCUUGAAGUAUAUGAAAGUAAUCUUUCACUGGAAAUCACCUGAUAACGGCUGAAGAGAAGACCAGGGCUAGGUCGAAUUUCCUUUUUGGUUCAGUUACUGUAAUGUGCUGCUACCUGUCCUUUCAUUUGCCCUGCAAAUGGCACUUAAAUUUAUACAGUUUAAGAAACUUUGUUUUCUAAACUAGAUGAAUAAGAUUUUCUCAUUUGUGAAACAGCAUAAAUAUAUUUUCAGGGUGAGAUUUUUUUAAGUCUAAAAACCUGUUCUGAAGAUAAUUUAUAGUUUCAUUUUUAUAGUAUUGUCUUUACAUAGUAAAGAUAAUGCACAUGAAAUACACUACUGAUCCUCCAGUUCUAAGCCAGGAUAAGUCCAAAUGCUUUUAUGCCCACAUUCCUUUGGCUUUCAGAGAAGACAAUAGAAUUGAGUUUCACAUAGCUAUGCAUAGUUUUUGGCAGUGCAGUUUGCACCCCUUUAAGGGUGAAUAAACUCACAGUGGGGAAGAUUAUACAUUCUCUGCACCCUUUUCAGUUUUCUAUGUUCUGUUCAUUGAUAGGUUUGAAGACUGUAUUUCUAGGAAAUGAAAUACAUGAGGCUCUUUCAAUACUGCUUUUACUGGAGUGUUGAAAGUGUCAGAAGCUAUUUCUGAGAACAGUUUUUAGCCAGUAGCGGGUGGGGGUGGUCUUGAAAAAUAAGAUUCAGGCUGGGCACAGUGGCUCACGCCUGUAAUCUUAGCAUUUUGGGAGGCCCAGGCGGGCGCAUCACAAAGUCAGGAGAUCAAGACAAUCCUGGCUAACAUGGUGAAACCCCGUCUCUACUAAAACUACAAAAAAAUUAGCCAGGCGUGGUGGCGGGCACCUGUAGUCCCAGCUACUCGGGAGGCUGAGGUAGGAGAAUAGCAUGAAGCUGGGAGGCGGAGCUUGCAGUGAGCCGAGAUCGUGCCACUGCGCUCCAGCCUGGGUGACAGAGCGAGACUCUGUCUC
rnacentral:lncRNA from 1 species